CUACCUUUGAAUCCACGGAAUCUUGCAGAGAUGUGAGAGUGCCUUCGGGAACCGUGAGACAGGUGCUGCAUGGCUGUCGUCAGCUCGUGUCGUGAGAUGUUGGGUUAAGUCCCGUAACGAGCGCAACCCUUGUCCUUAGUUACCAACGAGUAAAGUCGGGGACUUUAAGGAGACUGCCGGUGAUAAACCGGAGGAAGGUGGGGAUGACGUCAAGUCCUCAUGGCCCUUACAGGUAGGGCUACACACGUGCUACAAUGGUCGGUACAGAGGGUCGCCAACCCGCGAGGGGGAGCUAAUCUCAGAAAGCCGAUCGUAGUCCGGAUUGGAGUCUGCAACUCGACUCCAUGAAGCUGGAAUCGCUAGUAAUCGCGGAUCAGCACGCCGCGGUGAAUACGUUCCC
rnacentral:rRNA from 1 species